GUUAAAUUAAAUAAAAGAUAGAAGAGAUUAAAUGAUAUAUCAUUAAAUUUAAAAGAUUUGGCGGUACUUAUAAUUUAGAGGAACCUGUAUAGUAAUUGAUAGUCCACGAUAAGAAAUACUUAAAAUAAAGCUUAUGUAUUGCUGUUUGUAGUAUUUAAUUAAUUUAGAUUUAUCUAAUUUAUUAAAGUUAAAUAAUUCAAGUCAAAAUAUAGUUUUUUUAAGAUUAAUAUGGGUUACAUUUAAAUAAAUUAAAAUAGUUGAAUUAAAAAAUUUAAUUUUUUUAUGAAAAUGGAUUUAAAAGUAAAAUUAAUUAAUAAAUUAAUUUGAAUUUAAAGGUUAAGUAUGU
rnacentral:rRNA from 3 species